rnacentral:lncRNA from 1 species
AGGACACUGGAGCAGCUGCCUGGCUAAGUUGUGUAAUUUGUGUCAGCCCAAGGAGCCCUGUGUGAGAAGAUAUGAAUCCUCAUAAUAACUGAGGUCCUGGAUAAAACAAACCUGAUUGCAGUACUGUGAGUCCCUCCAAAGAGAUUCAACUGGAGGAGAUCACAGCUCCCAAAAAGAACAUCACUGGUGAGUUGAGAGAAACUGACUAAUAUGGGUGAAAUGAUAGAGAAGCCAGUGGCUACUGUUGUAUCAAGAGACUGUGCCUGACUUGGCCAUGCCUGGCCAUCCCUGCUACGUUCUGGGAAGGAGACUACCAUCUGUAAACAGAAAGACUUGCACCACAAGGGACAUACAGAGUUUGCCGUGGAAGUCACCCUGAAAGAGUAAGUCAGGCUCAAGACAGAAGUGCACAUCUGGAAUGCAGUCUUCAUUCUGUUGAGGUCCCUGUGCAAUUUACUCUGGUCACUAGAAGCAUGGAGAUCAGCUUGGGCAGGAAAAUGCUGGUGGCAGAGUGCUGAGGUCCAGGGUGCCGAAGGACUGAUUUAGUGCGGAGGAGGAAGCCACUUUCAUGUUUAAGGAAAAGCUUUAAUUGCCUGUACUCUAAAAAAGGAAAACGUUAACAUGGAGUAAUUCCUUCAACCACUACCCUUGUAACUUCUUCUGACCACAUUUGAUGCUGGGCAUUCCCUAAGGAACGAAUUGUAAAUAACGCCAUCCAAAUUCCUGAGAACAAGAUGCAUGCCAGGUUUCUGCCAGGAUAACAGUUGAUGCCUAAUUGAGCCUGGGAUUGUUAAAAUGUCUCCUUUUUAUAGUCCUGAAUAAUGUAGAGCUAAUGAACAGAUUCCAUUUUAGAUCUGAAAGCAUCAGCUCUCUAGCAAAGGUUUUUCUGUGUGUGUGAUUUGGCUUACUAAAAAAAUACAUAAGUAAAAAUAAAAAUAUAGAGACUCUUCUCAGCACAACCUCUGUCUUCAUAUAGAUGCUAAAUUUUUCAUUAAAAUUAUGUGUAAAUUGCUAUAGCACAUAUACAGCUAUUCUAAUACGAACUGAAUGAUGAAUUGAUUGGUCUUGAAAACUGCAUUCCAUUUUAAUCAUAUAUUUUGGUUCAGGAGUGAAAAAAACUGAAUCCUUGUCUAUUGUUGCCUUCUUUUUUCUCUGACUUUCAGACAUGUAGAACAUUCCCG